rnacentral:sRNA from 1 species
AAGUGAGGCUGAAGGAGGUUCCCCCCCACCGCCUUCAGCACUUCCGGUGAGCUUCCUAAGAAGAACCCGAGGCCCGGUCCCUUUCUGAGGUGACCGGGCCUCCUUCUUUU